rnacentral:rRNA from 1 species
UCCGUAGGUGAACCUGCGGAAGGAUCAUUAACGAGUUUUGAAACGAGUUGUAGCUGGCCUUCCGAGGCAUGUGCACGCUCUGCUCAUCCACUCUACCCCUGUGCACUUACUGUAGGUUGGCGUGGGCUCCUUAACGGGAGCAUUCUGCCGGCCUAUGUAUACUACAAACACUUUAAAGUAUCAGAAUGUAAACGCGUCUAACGCAUCUAUAAUACAACUUUUAGCAACGGAUCUCUUGGCUCUCGCAUCGAUGAAGAACGCAGCGAAAUGCGAUAAGUAAUGUGAAUUGCAGAAUUCAGUGAAUCAUCGAAUCUUUGAACGCACCUUGCGCUCCUUGGUAUUCCGAGGAGCAUGCCUGUUUGAGUGUCAUGGAAUUCUCAACUUAUAAAUCCUUGUGAUCUAUAAGCUUGGACUUGGAGGCUUGCUGGCCCUUGCGGUCGGCUCCUCUUGAAUGCAUUAGCUUGAUUCCGUACGGAUCGGCUCUCAGUGUGAUAAUUGUCUACGCUGUGACCGUGAAGUGUUUUGGCAAGCUUCUAACCGUCCAUUAGGACAACUUUUUAACAUCUGACCUCAAAUCAGGUAGGACUACCCGCUGAACUUAAGCAUAUCAAUAAGCGGAGGA